GGCCCUAUGGUCAAGCGGUUAAGACACCGCCCUUUCACGGCGGUAACCCGGGUUCGAACCCCGGUAGGGUCA
rfam:Peptoclostridium acidaminophilum DSM 3953 chromosome, complete genome.